CACGUAGGGCGCGAGCGUUGUCCGGAAUUAUUGGGCGUAAAGGGCUCGUAGGCGGUUUGUCGCGUCGGGAGUGAAAACCCAGGGCUUAACUCUGGGCUUGCUUUCGAUACGGGCAGACUAGAGGUAUGCAGGGGAGAACGGAAUUCCUGGUGUAGCGGUGAAAUGCGCAGAUAUCAGGAGGAACACCGGUGGCGAAGGCGGCCUUCUGGACAGUGACUGACGCUGAGACGCGAAAGCGUGGGGAGCAAACAGG
rnacentral:rRNA from 1 species